UCCGCCCAUUUGCGGCCGGUCGGUGCACGACGAUUUUAGCAUCGGAGACUCCAGCAGAGUCUUCAAGUGGCAGCAACCUUUAUCAGGGCGUCCUGCUCCCUGCCUUUGAAUGAAUGGAGGCCACUGGUGCUCAAAUACUCUGCAAAAUCAGCCCAGAAAGUCUGGCAGCUCGCAGCGAGUCACUCGUAAUCGGCAGCCUCGUCAAGCACCAGCACAGUCAAGCACAGUCUUCAGUGGCACCAUCCUUCUGCAGGGAUGCCCUUCAAUGAGAGGAGGCACCUGGUGCCCAUACACUCCAUGAAGUCCCGACUAGAAAGCCUGGAAGCUCGGAACGAGUCGCUCGUCAUUUGUUGGAGAGGCCAGUCCGCCCAUUUGCGGCCGGUCGGUGCACGACAAUUUUAGCAUCGGAGACUCCAGCAGAGUCUUCAAGUGGCAGCAACCUUUAUCAGGGCGUCCUGCUCCCUGCCUUUAAAUGAAUGGAGGCCACUGGUGCUCAAAUACUCGGCAAAAUCAGCCCAGAAAGUCUGGCAGCUCGCAGCAUUAAUUUUAGAUUUAUUUGUGAUUAAAUUACUGGGUGACCUUCAAAUCUUCCUUCCUUGCCUUCCCUCUCUUCCUGACCAACAUCCUCAAUCCCUUAAAAAAUUUCAAGGGGUGCCUUGGCCUGUUUGUCCCACUCGGCUCGUCGUCCACCUUUUUCUCCUUCGCUCGUCUCCUGUUUGAAUCACUUUUAAUUAUUAUUUUUUUAACAGGUGACGUUCCUCUCGCGCGUCCUUGACAUUUCACCAAUCCUUGCAUGCCCACGCACCAGCCCCAUCAUUUUCAAAGCAUGCCUUGCACUAAUUCCACCCUCAUCCACCCCCUAAACCCAGAUUAACGUAGAUGGCUCAUUCCUUUUCACAUUAAUUUUAGAUUUAUUUGUGAUUAAAUUACUGAUUAACCUACAACUCUCCCAUCUUUGCCUUCUCUCUCUUCCUGACCAACAUCCUCAAUCCCUUACAAAAUUUCAAGGGGUGCCUUGGCCUGUUUGUCCCACUCGGCUCGUCGUCCACCUUUUUCUCCUUCGCUCGUCUCCUGUUUGAAUCACUUUUAAUUAUUAUUUUUUUAAUAGGUGACGUUCCUCUGGCCCUUCUUUGGUCUUUCAGCAAGCCAUGCAAGCCCACCGAGCAGCAACAUCAUUUGCAAAGCGUGCCUCACUUUCAAUCCACCCUCAACAACCCACGCACAUCGAGUAAAGCAGCCGGCUUAGUAU